rnacentral:rRNA from 1 species
CGAGAGGUGCUUGCACCUUUCAAGCGAGUGGCGAACGGGUGAGUAACACGUGGAUAACCUGCCUCAAGGCUGGGGAUAACAUUUGGAAACAGAUGCUAAUACCGAAUAAAACUUAGUAUCGCAUGAUAUCAAGUUAAAAGGCGCUACGGCGUCACCUAGAGAUGGAUCCGCGGUGCAUUAGUUAGUUGGUGGGGUAAAGGCUUACCAAGACGAUGAUGCAUAGCCGAGUUGAGAGACUGAUCGGCCACAUUGGGACUGAGACACGGCCCAAACUCCUACGGGAGGCUGCAGUAGGGAAUCUUCCACAAUGGGCGCAAGCCUGAUGGAGCAACGCCGCGUGUGUGAUGAAGGCUUUCGGGUCGUAAAGCACUGUUGUAUGGGAAGAAAUGCUAAAAUAGGGAAUGAUUUUAGUUUGACGGUACCAUACCAGAAAGGGACGGCUAAAUACGUGCCAGCAGCCGCGGUAAUACGUAUGUCCCGAGCGUUAUCCGGAUUUAUUGGGCGUAAAGCGAGCGCAGACGGUUGAUUAAGUCUGAUGUGAAAGCCCGGAGCUCAACUCCGGAAUGGCAUUGGAAACUGGUUAACUUGAGUGUUGUAGAGGUAAGUGGAACUCCAUGUGUAGCGGUGGAAUGCGUAGAUAUAUGGAAGAACACCAGUGGCGAAGGCGGCUUACUGGACAACAACUGACGUUGAGGCUCGAAAGUGUGGGUAGCAAACAGGAUUAGAUACCCUGGUAGUCCACACCGUAAACGAUGAAUACUAGGUGUUAGGAGGUUUCCGCCUCUUAGUGCCGAAGCUAACGCAUUAAGUAUUCCGCCUGGGGAGUACGACCGCAAGGUUGAAACUCAAAGGAAUUGACGGGGACCCGCACAAGCGGUGGAGCAUGUGGUUUAAUUCGAAGCAACGCGAAGAACCUUACCAGGUCUUGACAUCCUUUGAAGCUUUUAGAGAUAGAAGUGUUCUCUUCGGAGACAAAGUGACAGGUGGUGCAUGGUCGUCGUCAGCUCGUGUCGUGAGAUGUUGGGUUAAGUCCCGCAACGAGCGCAACCCUUAUUGUUAGUUGCCAGCAUUCAGUUGGGCACUCUAGCGAGACUGCCGGUGACAAACCGGAGGAAGGCGGGGACGACGUCAGAUCAUCAUGCCCCUUAUGACCUGGGCUACACACGUGCUACAAUGGCGUAUACAACGAGUUGCCAACCUGCGAAGGUGAGCUAAUCUCUUAAAGUACGUCUCAGUUCGGACUGCAGUCUGCAACUCGACUGCACGAAGUCGGAAUCGCUAGUAAUCGCGGAUCAGCACGCCGCGGUGAAUACGUUCCCGGGUCUUGUACACACCGCCCGUCACACCAUGGGAGUUUGUAAUGCCCAAAGCCG